GAGCUCAUAAUGAUGGGAUCAAAAGGAAGUGAACUGGACUCUGAGGAACUUAACACAAGAUUGUGAUGGACCUAGAAUGCAACACCGUUUACGAAUAAGUCAAGAACCAAAUGAAACACUAUUUUCCAGAGCGCAGAUUAUGGAAGGGUCUGCAAAACUAAUGGAGCAGUUUCUUCUUCUUGGAGUGCCACAGCUUGAUGCUGCAUAUAAGGACUUAGUGAAGAACACAGAAACAUCUUUAAAAGAAAUGGCCCAAAAGAAGGGAAGGAAAGAAGGAAGUGCUCUAUGCUAGUCUCAUUGGACCAGCAGAGGAAACCACAGAAGAAAUCCAAAGGUCCUAACAGCUCUCCUGAUUCCGUCAAGGCUUGAAGUGUCAGCAUUACGUUGGCCUACACUCGCUCACUUGCCUUCCACUCCCUCAUUUAUCAGAGGCACCACAGUAGAAUGAAUUAGCAAUUACUUU